GCCCCACAUAGUAUGGUGGUUAUGACACUCGACUUAUAGUCGAGGGGACUCGGGUUCAAAUCCCGAAUAAGGCA